GAGAUUCCUGUACCACCUCCUUCCCGUUUGAGCGAUGGGGGGACGCAGGAGGAUAGGGUGAGCAGGCGGCUGGAAGAGCCUGUCCAAGCAGUGAGGCUGGCCAGCAGGCAAAUCCGCUGGCUAAAAGGCUGAGCUGUGAUGGCGACGGAUUCRAUCCGGAAGUCCCUGAUUCCACACUGCCAAGAAAAGCCUCUAGCGAGGGAAGAGGUGCCCGUACCGCAAACCGACACAGGUAGGCGAGGAGAGAAUCCUAAGGCGCGCGGGAGAACUCUCGUUAAGGAACUCGGCAAAAUGACCCCGUAACUUCGGGAGAAGGGGUGGAGCCGCAGUGAAAAGGCCCAAGCGACUGUUUAUCAAAAACACAGGUCUCUGCGAAGCCGAAAGGCGAAGUAUAGGGGCUGACACCUGCCCGGUGCUGGAAGGUUAAGGGGAGCGCUUAGCGCAAGCGAAGGUGCGAACCGAAGCCCCAGUAAACGGCGGCCGUAACUAUAACGGUCCUAAGGUAGCGAAAUUCCUUGUCGGGUAAGUUCCGACCCGCACGAAAGGUGUAACGACUUGGGCACUGUCUCAACGAGAGACCCGGUGAAAUUAUACUACCUGUGAAGAUGCAGGUUACCCGCGACAGGACGGAAAGACCCCGUGGAGCUUUACUGCAGCCUGAUAUGGAAUUUUGGUAUCGCUUGUACAGGAUAGGUGGGAGCCUGAGAAGCCGGAGCGCCAGCUUCGGUGGAGGCGGCGGUGGGAUACCACCCUGGCGGUAUUGAAAUUCUAACCCGCACCCCUUAAGCGGGGUGGGAGACAGUGUCAGGUGGGCAGUUUGACUGGGGCGGUCGCCUCCCAAAAGGUAACGGAGGCGCCCAAAGGUUCCCUCAGAAUGGUUGGAAAUCAUUCGGAGAGUGCAAAGGCACAAGGGAGCUUGACUGCGAGACGGACAGGUCGAGCAGGGACGAAAGUCGGGCUUAGUGAUCCGGUGGUUCCGCAUGGAAGGGCCAUCGCUCAACGGAUAAAAGCUACCCCGGGGAUAACAGGCUGAUCUCCCCCAAGAGUCCACAUCGACGGGGAGGUUUGGCACCUCGAUGUCGGCUCAUCGCAUCCUGGGGCUGUAGUCGGUCCCAAGGGUUGGGCUGUUCGCCCAUUAAAGCGGUACGCGAGCUGGGUUCAGAACGUCGUGAGACAGUUCGGUCCCUAUCCGUCGCGGGCGCAGGAAAUUUGAGAGGAGCUGUCCUUAGUACGAGAGGACCGGGAUGGACGCACCGCUGGUGUACCAGUUGUCCCGCCAGGGGCACCGCUGGGUAGCUAUGUGCGGACGGGAUAAGCGCUGAAAGCAUCUAAGCGUGAAGCCCCCCUCAAGAUGAGAUUUCCCAUCGCCAAAAGCGAGUAAGAUCCCUCGAAGAUGACGAGGUCGAUAGGUCCGAGGUGGAAGCGUGGCGACACGUGGAGCUGACGGAUACUAAUCGAUCGAGGGCUU
rnacentral:rRNA from 1 species